rnacentral:lncRNA from 1 species
CUGGAAGAAACUCGAGAAAAAGUGCGCAUCCAAAUGAUGUCUUACCAGCAUACGAUCACUCGAUAUUACAAUACCAAAGUUUGGAACAAGUUCUUUCGAGUCGGCAACCUAACCCUGUGCAAGGCCGAAGCAUCACAACCCGAAGAAUGAGGCAAGCUAUCCCCAAACUAGGAGGGUCCAUAUCAGGUAGAUGAAGUCAUCAAACGAGAAACCUAUCGACUA